rnacentral:lncRNA from 1 species
GACACUGUGUAAGGUUUGGUUCCGCAUUAAGGCUCCGACAAUGUAUAAAGUGCGGUUUGGCAAUUGAAAAGGGCGGUCUAGCAAAUGCAAAGGGCAGUCCAGCACUUGUGGGCUCCAACAAUGUGAUGGUGUCCGGGGCUCCAACAAUGUGAUGGUGUCCGGUAAUGUACUACUAGGUACCGUCAAAUUUGUCCAAAAUGAUUUUUGUAUACAAGAAGGCAUUUCCAUUUAAAAAAUAAAUUUUUUCCCUUGGGGGUAUUUGCAUACAAAGUUGUUUUGAGAAAAAAGUGAGAGAAAAAGUUAGCUUGGGGGUAAGUUGCAUGAGAAAUAUGGUCUUGAGGUUUUUUGUAAUUUCCCUAUGCUAACCUUAGGAGUGCACUCACGGUUUAGAUUAAACAUAGGUGUAUUUAGAGGCUAUAAGAUAAAUUUUUUUAUUCUAUAUUUUUAUUUAAAAUUAUAUUUAUCUAAAACUUGUGAUGUAAAUAUAUUUCUAUAUAUUGUACUAAAUAAAAAUAAAAAAAAUAAUUUUGAACAAAAAAUUAACUAGAAUACCCCUCAAACAAAUAUUUUAGAUGAUUUUUGUUUGUUCAGAGUAUUUUUCUAUUAGUUUUAUUGAGGGUGUACGAGGCCAAGGUUCUAAACAAUCAAAGUGUGUAUAUCACCCCCAAGUUUUGGUCUCGUAGCCUCGUGGACCAGGAGC